GAUGAACGCUGGCGGCGUGCCUAAUACAUGCAAGUCGAGCGAACGGACGUGAAGCUUGCUUCUCUGAUGUUAGCGGCGGACGGGUGAGUAACACGUGGAACACCUACCUAUUAGACUGGGAUAACUUCGGGACACCGGAGCUAAUACCGGAUAAUCUUUUGAACUGCAUGGUUCAAAAGUGAAAGACGGUCUUGCUGUCACUUAUAGAUGGAUCCGCGCUGCAUUAUCUAGUUGGUAAGGUAACGGCUUACCAAGGCAACGAUGCAUAGCCGACCUCAGAGGGUGAUCGGCCACACUGGAACUGAGACACGGUCCAGACUCCUACGGCAGGCAGCAGUAGGGAAUCGUCCGCAAUGGGCGAAAGCCUGACGGAGCAACGCCGAGUGAGUGAUGAAGGUCUUCGGAUCGUAAAACUCUGUUAUUAGGGAAGAACAUAUGUGUAAGUAACUGUGCACAUCGUGACGGUACCUAAUCAGAAAGCCACGGCUAACUACGUG
rnacentral:rRNA from 1 species